UUGAGAACCCUGGAGACUGAAGACCUUGAUUUAUUCAUAGAAAGGUACAGAAUGGGCAACAGCAGGGCAAGAUUUCUCCAUACCUUACUCCAUCAAUGCAUACCAAUCCUAAUCUGGAGAGAUUUCUAUGGACAAGAGAAUAGUUCAUUUUCCAUGCUUACCAUUCAGUUCUUGCUCACU
rnacentral:sRNA from 1 species